UACGUAGGUCCCGAGCGUUGUCCGGAUUUAUUGGGCGUAAAGCGAGCGCAGGUGGUUUAUUAAGUCUGGUGUAAAAGGCAGUGGCUCAACCAUUGUAUGCAUUGGAAACUGGUAGACUUGAGUGCAGGAGAGGAUCGUGGAAUUCCAUGUGUAGCGGUGAAAUGCGUAGAUAUAUGGAAGAACACCAGUGGCGAAGGCGGCUCUCUGGUCUGCAACUGACGCUGAGGCUCGAAAGCAUGGGUAGCGAACAGG
rnacentral:rRNA from 1 species